GAAUUGUUCGCAAUGGGCGCAAGCCUGACGACGCAACGCCGCGUGGAGGAUGAAGGUCUUCGGAUUGUAAACUCCUGUUGAUCGGGGCGAACAACCACCGGGAUAACACCCCGGAGGUCUGACGGUACCGACUGAGGCAGCCCCGGCUAACUCCGUGCCAGCAGCCGCGGUAAUACGUAGGGUGCGGGCGUUAAUCGGAAUUACUGGGCGUAAAGCGUGCGCAGGCGGCCUCUUAAGUCAGAUGUGAAAUCCCCGGGCUUAACCUGGGAACUGCGUUUGAAACUGGGAGGCUAGAGUGUGGAAGAGGGGGGUGGAAUUCCAGGUGUAGCAGUGAAAUGCGUAGAGAUCUGGAGGAACACCGAUGGCGAAGGCAGCCCCCUGGGCUGACACUGACGCUCAUGCACGAAAGCGUGGGGAGCAAAC
rnacentral:rRNA from 1 species